GUUGGCAGGGACCAAGGGACUGGGAGGCGGAUCGGGGCUGGGCUCAGGGGCCGAGAGGGAGCUGGGCUUGGGGCGGGGCCGAGACGGAGCGAGGGGUCCAGGGUGUGAGAAACGGGGAGGGGUUUGAGGAGGGGAUUGGAGUGUGGCUCAAGUUCGGGAGGCGUUACCUGCGGAGGGUUUGAGGCAGGCCCAGGAGCGAGCCCACGGUCUGCCGACGCGGGGCCAGCGGCGGGCCCCAGGAUCCGGAGCUUCGGGCGGGGCCGAGUCCAGCCAGGUACUAUUCUAGAUUGUCUUGUGAUAUUUACAAUCUAGGAGAAGGCAGGAGAGAGAACUAAGAACAGAGAGCAUGUUCUGAGAUGUCUGCUGUGUUUGCAGGAAUGACGGACGCUGGGGCUUUGAUGGGCACCGGGUGAAAUGGGCAGAGUGGCGCUUACCCGGGAUGGCGGUGAAGCGGGACCGGGAGGUCAUCGUGACAAAGGGUGGCAUGAGGUACCUGGCCUUGACGCCCUCCCCGGCUAGACGGUCCAGAUUGGGGGUGUCCACAUCCUGAUCCUAGUCCCAGCGGAAGCCCUGGAAGGAGAUCAGCAGCAGCUGUGAGUGCUCUUCCUCCCUGGGACGGGGUGGCUACUCAGUAGGACAGGCGGCAGCAGCUGGAGGGCCCCGAACCCUGUCAUCCCAUGAGCACCUGUCAUGCACUCCUCACAGAGAUCGUGGGCUUCUCCCUCUUUAAUCCGUUGUUGAACAACGUCCACAUUAAUAAUUCAGCCCAGCUCUGUUGUGGGACAAACAACCCGGAGUGUAGCAAGGUGCCGCAUAUUUGCAGGACAGGAUGAAAGCGUUCUGGAGAUGGAUGGGGGACAUGGCUGUACAAUGUGGUGGAUGCACUUAACACCACUGAAUUUUUCCUUUGAAAAUGGCUAAAAUAAUAGAUUUUGUAUGUAUUUUACCACAAUAAAAAAAUUAAACUGGCCUGGCGUGGUGGCUUACACCUGUAAUCCCAGCACUUUGGGAGGCCGAGGCGGGUAGAUCAUUUGAGGUCAGGAGUUCGAGCCCAGCCUGGCCAACAUGGAGAAACCCCAUUUCUACUAAAAAUGCAAAUAUUAGCAGGGCGUGGCGGUACAUGUCUGUAAUUCCAGCUACUUGGGAGGCUGAGGCAGGAGAAUGGCUUGAACCCGGGAGGUAGAGGUUGCAGUGAGCCGGGAUUGUGCCACUGCACUCCAACCUGGACGAUGGAAUGAGACUCCGUCUCCAAAAACAAAAAAAAUCAAACCAUGUGAAAUAUUUUGGGCCCUUAUACUAAUUCCAACAUUUUGAAGAUCUGGGGAGAACAAACUAGAUUGGUGCUUUCCUUGGCUUAGUAUGUCCUGUUUUUAUAGGGAGAGCAAAUUACUGUUCACCAGCACUAUUAAAAUAGCUACAACAGGAUGGGCAUGGUGGCUCACACCUGUAAUCCCAGCACUUUGGGAAGCUGAGGUGGGAGGAUCGCUUGAGCCCAGGAGUUCAAGAUGUCAGCCUGGGCAACAUGGCGAGACCCUGUCACUACCAAAAAUACAACAACAACAACAAAAAUAGCUGGGUGUGGUUGCGUGCACCUGUAGUCCCAGCUACUUGAGAGGCUGAAGUGGGAGGAUCACUUGUGCCCAGGAGGUUGAGGCUGCAGUAAGCUGUGAUUAUGCCACUGUACUCAGCCUGGGUGACAGAGUGAGACCCUGUCUCAAAAAAAAAAAAAAAAAAAAAGCUGCAGUGGACUCAGUGAUCAUGAGCCAGGCACUGUACACAUAUACAUCACCUCAUUUAAUUUUUUCUCUUGUUUAAAAUUAUUUUUUCCUCUAAUCCCCAUGUUGAUCAACAUUUUCUUAAUCCUAGGAAUUUAUUAGUUGAAAAUUUCACAUAAGAAUUAAAAAUUGCCUGGUGUGAUGGCUUACAUCUGUUAUCCCAGCACUUUGGGAGGCUAAGAUGAGAGAAUCGCUUGAAGCAAGGAGUUUGGGCCAGUCUGGGUAAUAUAGUGAGAAUGCAACUCUAUAAAAAAAUUAAAAACCCUGGGUGUGGCAGCGUUCACCUGUAGUCCCAGCUACUUGGAAGACUAGGUGGGAGGAUUGCUUGAGCCCAGGCGGUAAAGGCAGCAGUGAGCUAUGUUUGUGCCAUUGCACUACAGCCUGGGUGAUGGAGUGAGACUCUAUCUCUAAAAUAAAUGAAUAAAAUUGUGGUAUAAUAUAUGCAACAUUUACCAUUUUGUGCAUCGGAAAGUGUACAAUUCAGUGACAUUUUGUACAUUAAUCAUGUGCAAUUAUCACCACUACCUAGUUUCAGGGCUUUUUCAACACCUCAAUUGGAAGCCUCAUAUCCAUUCAGCAGUCACUCUGCAUACCCCCUCCUGCAGCCCCUGGAAACCUCUCAUCUACUUUCUAUCUCUGUCGAUUGGCUUAGUCUGAACAUUGCAUAUAAAUGGAAUUGUACAAUAUAUGACUUUUCAUGUCUGCUUCUUUCACUGAGCAUGUUUUUAACGUUCAUCCAUAUCACAGCAUGGAUAAGUUUUAUUUUCUUUUUAGACACUAUCUAAAAAGAAAAAAAAGUUGUAAAACAAAAAAAAGUAUAUAGGAUGGAGAUCAGAUGUGUCCUGCAAAGCUGAUAAUAGUUACUAUCUAGCACUUUACAUAGAAGCUUGCCUACCUCUGAAUGAUAUGCAGGUACAGGGAUGACAUUUAUCUUGGCACUUAUAGAAAGACCUGUAAGUUGUAUAAAGAUGUCAUCCUUGGAUUUCCAGUAACAAGAAGCGGCAAGACAUGACGGUGUGUCCAGGUGUUCAGGCGAAGUUUAGGGAUGGUCUUGUUUUGACGAGGUCGGAUGUGAGACCCAGAUGAGAUAACCCCAUUUCCCCUGCUGAAAUUGCCUGAGAAUUUCGUUCCAGUUAUUUGUGUGGGUUGAUUCUUUCAGUGGGGGGUGGGGUGGGUGAGGAGGUGAAGUGUCAGGGGAGUUCUAUUGUGUAUUUGCACAACUUGGCUUUCUUUUCACUUGGUGUGGUGUUUUGCUGUAUGAGGAAUUUCAUAGAAUUUUGUAAUGAGUAUGCAGCAUAGUGGUUUGAAUCCUGCCAGGCUAAGGGUCAUAUCUCAGCUCUGCAUCUCAUUAUCUCUGAUGCCUUGGGGCAGGUCCCAUAACUCUCCAAGACUCUGUUCUAUAUUCCAUGGGGUUGUGAGGUUCAGAUGAAAUAAUGCAUGCUGGCAGGAAUGGUUACUGCUCAUGGGAUUUCCAUGUGCUCCCCAUAUUCCCCAGACCCCCAGUAGUUAGAUGGAUCCAUGCCAGGGUCCAAUGCUCUAUAAGUGGAAGUCACUGACAUCACCUCUAGUCUACGGCUUUUGAGGGCUUGGGAAUAACUAUCUCAUCCUCUCAUCUCCUGGUGCAGUAACUAUGGGAGAAUCCCUGCAUUAAGAUGGUAGAAUUUCCAUUAUUCUAGGUCUUUGAGUGGCCAUAUGGAGCACACCAUACCCAGCCAACCCAUUGUGGACAUGGAAUGUAAGAAAUCAACCUUGGUUGCUAAGCUGCUGAGACUCUGGGGUUAAUUUGUUACUGUAGCAUAACCUAGUCCAUCCUGACACAUGCAGCAUGCAAACCACUUACGUUGACCCUUAGCCAUGGUAAGUGCUCCACAGAUGUUAGUUACUUUUGGUAGGAAGAUAGAUUGCCUCUGAAAGUUUUGUUAGCUGAUCUCAUGAUGCCAAUGUUGCUACUUUGUAAUUGGAUAAAUUGGACUUGGCUCUCCUUCCAGCAUGUGGGAGAGACAGAUGACUGAGAGACAAUAAAGCACUAUUAUCUUCAGUUUGUGCCCUUGGAUACCCUUGGUGGCAAUGAACAAUGCAUGCUCCUCUGAGAAAACUGGACCUAAAGGAGAAUGGAAGGUGAUACCAGAAUUGGGAAUGUCCAAGGCCCAAGGCAUUCCCUGGUCUGGAGACCACUUUGAGUCCAUGGUUGGGAAGAUUCUCCAAGGGAACAUAAAUGCUUUUACUAUCUAGUUUGUCUCUUUGAGAAUUAAAACUCUUUUUUUUUUUUUCAUUCCAGUAGCUUUUGGGGUAGAGUUUGGCUCUUUGAGAAUUGCAUACUAAUUAAUUUUAGGGGUGAUUUGUACAUCAUCUCUAUAUUCCUGAAACACAGUAGAAACAGCCAGCAGUCAGGCAACCAUCUACCAUGACCAUUAAAACAUCCCCAAAGUGAAACACCAGAUGUGAUCUGCUAGAUUUAGUGGAGGCGGCUGGCUCGAGAGUUGAUUAUAUUCAUUAUCGUCACUGUGGUGAUUAUGGCCACAACAUUGUGAUGCGUCUUGGUCUUCUUCUGGUGAGUUGCAGUUUGGAAGGAAUAAAUCCAUUGUUCUUUUUUCUUUCUUUUUUUUUUGAGUCUCGCUCUGUCGCCCAGGCUGGAGUGCAGUGGUGCCAUGUCAGCGUACUGUAAACUCUGCCUCCCAGGUUCAAGUGCUUCUCCUGCCUCAGCCUCCCAAGUAGCUGGGAUUACAGGCGCCCACCACCACACCUGGCUAAUUUUUAUAUUUUUAAUAGAGACGGGAUUUCGCCAUGUUGGCCAGGCUGGUCUUGAACUCCUGACCUCAGGUGAUCCACCUGCCUCAGCCUCCCAAAGUGCUGGGAUUACAGGUGUGAGCCACCACGCCCGGACCCAUUAUUCAUUUAACCAAUAUCUAUUGAGCACGUUGGGUAUGGUGGAGGAUGAACUGCAGGGGAGGGGAGGAAGCCUUCUCCUGCCACUAUGUUUUCAAGUUGUGCUAAUACUCCACCAUGGGACAUGCAGGCUUGUGGUUCCCAGAGCUCCAGAAGCAUCUCCCAACCAUACCAUCCUGACCCAGGUUCUACUGAAAAAUACAUGAGUCUAGCAGAGCCAUCUCUGACACUUCCCUUCUUUUGAAUGGCUGAUCUGUCAGUCAUGGGGAUCCCUUAUGAAAGUGCAGUGUGCUUUGUGAAACUUGAGGCUGAUCAAAGAAUACCAUUAAACUUUGUUAAGAAAUCUACAGAUUGAUGACAUACGCAGUGGGAUGGAGGUGGGGAAAUUCCCAAAUACAUUUUAGAAAUUAUCUCAGAAGGAGGUAAUAGUCAGACUCUUGGUUGCCAGUGACAGAAACUCAUCUUACUAGUGUGGAGUGGAAAAGGGAUCAUGUUUUGGUCUGCACUCCCCAACCCCAACCCCAAGCAGAUCCUGAAAGAGGGACAGGAUUGCAAGUGGAUUAUUUAGGAGAUGAUUCCAGGGAACACCAAUAGGGGAGUGAGGAACUGAUUCAUGACAAGGCAGGAGGCCACACAGGAGGCUUCAGUGAGCAGCUUACCACUCCAGGCAACUAGGAUUUGACCCCACUGGGGACCUCUGGGAAGUGAUGUGGAAUACAUUUCAAAGUUGUUCCAUCCAGGGGGGGAAAUAUUGAAGCAUUUAUAGCCUGGCUCCCAUCCGUCACUGGCUGAGGACUGGUCCCAGGGCAUCAACUCUCUGGCUUUUCUUUUCUCUUUUUUUGGUGGGGGACAUAGUCGUGCUCUGUCACCCAGGCUGGACUGCAAUGGCAUGAUCUCGGCUUACUGCAACAUCUGCUUCCCAGGUUCAAACGAUUCUCUUGCCUCAGCUUCCUGAGUAGCUGGGAUUACAGGCGCCUGCCACCAUGCCCUGCUAAUUUUUUUAUUUUUUGUAGAGACGGGGUUUUGCCACGUUGGUCAGGCUGGUCUCGAACUCCUGACCUCAUGAUCCACCCGCCUUGGCCUCCCAGUGUUGGGAUUACGGGCAUGAGUCACUGCACCCAGCUUCUGUGGCUUUUCUGACAUAUUCCCUGCCUGACUUUGAAAAAACUCUCAAGUGAAAGUCUUGGUUGUAUGCAGUAGCAAGCAUGGACUAGAUUGAUAAAUACCAAGGGGCCUACCACAAGAUCUCUCUUUCAAUCUCUGGGUGGAGACACCUCAGAGCUGUCUCUCUAUCUCUGUCUCUAGCUUUGUCUGCAUACUGGCUUAAUUUCUUCUUACUCAAGCCUUUUCUCCAUAAGGUGAGAUAUGUGGCCACAAAAGCUCCUGUAUUUCUCACUACACACAGUUCCUGUCAUCACAGAGAAUGAUUAACUUGUUCUGGUUCCAGUUUGGAAAAAUAUUCAAGGGAAGAAUUCUGAUUGGCCAAUUUAGGCCAGAUGUUCAUCCCUGGACCAAUCAACUGAGGCCAGAGGGGUGGAGUCAUAUGAGAACAUGGCAGCCCCCAUGAGAGCCCCGUGACUGGAGUAGGAAGUGUGAGUCUCCAUAGAGGGGAGGGCUGCUAGGCUGAAAAGGCAAUAGAUGUCUGCAGUGAAAGGAAUAGAUUAGGGGAUAUAUUCUGUUAAACCUGUUAAUUGUUAAAAAAAGAAACUUUCAAUAUACAGUUACAGUGUACGUGAGCCGGUGGCUCACGCCUAUAAUCCCAGCACUUUGGGAGGCCGAGGUGGGCAAAUCAGAGGUCAGGAGUUCGAGACAAACCUGACGAACAUGGUGAAACCCUGCCUUGUGCACCUAUAAUCCCAGCUACUCAGGAGGCUGAGGAAGGAGAAUCGCUUGAACCCGGGAGGUGGAGGUUGCAGUGAGCUGAGGUCACGUCACUGCACUCCAGCCUGGGCAACAGAGUGGGACUCCCUCUCAGAAAAAAAAAAAAAAAAUGUUACCUUGUUGUUCCUUCAGCAUGAUUUAUUAGAAAGGAAAAACUUACCAUAUGCAUAUUUCCUAUGCACAGGCUACUGCUAUGAAUUCAAAUUCUUAAAUUCCAAAGAUUAAUUACAAUGUUUCUCAAGACACAGAAACUGUGUUAGAAUCUGCUUAUAAUGAGGCUGAAGUUGAGUAAGAAUAGAACUGGCAUUUAGUACACUACUUUCCUUCUGUGGAGUACUGUCAAGUUUAGGUUCUGCCUGGAAGUAGAUGCACCUCAAGGGAGGGUUACAUGUAAAGGUGUGUGUGUGUGUGUGUGUGUGUGUGUGUGUGUGGUAGUUUCCGAAGAUGGGUACAACUUUCUGCAAACGCUUGUGCAGUGUAAUUGAACCAAUCUUUCCUUUAAGAGGUAGAGUUUAUAUUCCUCUACAUGAAUCUGGGCUGUUUAUGACUUGCUUUGGCCAGUGGAAUGCUGCCAAAGUGAUGGUGACCAAUUUCUAGCCGUGAAAGGAAAAUAAACCUUGGGCCCCCAAGAUCAGUAAGCUAGGCCGGGCUCAGUGGCUCACGCCUGUAAUCCCAGCACUUUGGGAAGCUGAGGCGGGCAGAUCACCUGAGGUCAGGAGUUCAAGACCAGCCUGGCCAACAUGAUGAAACCCCCAUCUCUACUAAAAAAUAUGAAAAUAAGCCAGGUGUGGUGGCAGGCGCCUGUAAUCCCAGCUACUCGGGAGGCUGAGGCAGGGAAAAUUGCUUGAACCCUGGAGUUGGAGGUUGCAGUGAGCUGAGAUCGCACCACUGCACUCCAGCCUGGGCAACAGAGUGAGACACUGUCCCAAAAAAAAAAAAAAAAAAGUUACUAGCUAAAGAGAAAAGUCAAGCUGGGAACUGCUUAGGGCAAACCUGCCUCCCAUUCUAUUCAGUCACCCCUUUGCUCACUGAGAUAAAUGUAUAUCUGAUUGCCUCAUUUGGAGAGGCUAAUCAGGAACUCAAAAGAAUGCAACCAUUUGUCUCUUAACUACCUAUGACCUGGAAGCCCCCUCUCCGCUUCGAGUUGUCUCACCUUCACCUUCACCUGGAGUUGUCCCGCCUUUCCAGACUGGACCAAUGUAUAUCUUGCACAUAUUGAUUCAUGUCUCAUGUCUCUCUAAAAUGUAUGAAACCAAGCUGUGUCCCUACCACCUUAGGCACAUGUUGUCAGGACCUCCUGAGGCUGUAUCACAGGCGUGCAUCCUCAACCUUGGCAAAAUAAACUUUCUGAAUUAACUGAGACCUCAGAUUUUUGGGGUGCAUAUAGUCUUAGGCCUUGAGAACCCUCUCGUAGUUUCCAUAUUUUUGCCCUCUUGGAUGCUGGCACCAAUCAAGCCUUGGCUAUCCUGCUUAAAGGGCCAUUUGGAGAGGGGCUCUGGAGGGCUAGGGGCCACAUGGAGGAAAACAAGGUUCCCCGGCUGACAGGCAGCACCAACUGCCAGGCACACACGUGAGGCUGUCCUGGAUGUUCCGCCCACCUGGCCCUCCAGCUGCAGGUAGCCACACAAAUGAGCCCAGAUUAAACUAGACAGGAAGUCCCCAUGCAACUCACAGGGUCAUGAGCAAUAAUGACUUGUGGUGGUUUAAAGUUUCUAAUUUUAGGGUGCAAUAGGUAACUGAAAUAGCCCACAAGGGUGUGAACCUGUGGAGGGUGCAUUUCCCACUUGUUGAAGCUUCUCAAUUCCCAGGAUCCAAUCCGGAUAAGACUGUUGUUCUCAGUGUCCUUGAUGGAAAUGGCAAUGAACUUUUUGCAGAUUGGACCAUCUCAGGGGAAUCCCAAAGAUGGGAAACUAUUUUCUUUCUUAGAAACUUCCACACAGCAUUGAGCCUUAGGAAUUUCUACGAAGGAUCUGAAAUGAAAAAAAAUCUUUUGAAAAGGUAUUUGUAUAGCUUCACUUCAGCAAGAUUCAUGGUGGGUGUUAGACUAAGUGCUGGUGUUAAGCCAAACCAUGUUUUUCAAAGACUCAUCUGGCCUCAAGGUUGGCGGGAUCACAGUGGCCUCCCAGGAUCUAUCACAUCCUCAGAAGAGUUGGUUCAACUGGCAUGUACCCAGAUCUCUUUGAGCUAGUAUGAUACUCCCUUGAGUCAAAGGCUGCCACAUCACAUCUCCUUUAAGUCCCCCUAAGUACGACCCCAGAAGCAUUGACAAAGUGUGCUAUUACUGAAGAUUUCAGGAGGACAUAAAUGAAGAGAUUAAACUGCAAGGUACCAAAACUUCCAUCUUUGCUGAAGACCCUCAUCCAGGCUGGGUGCGGUGGCUCAUGCCUGUAAUCCCAGCACUUUGGGAGGCCAAGGCAGGCGGAUCACCUGAGGUUGGGAGUUCAAGACCAGCCUGAUCAACAUGGAGAAACCCCGUCUCUACUGAAAAUACAAAAUUAGCCAGAUGUGGUGGCACAUGCCUGUAAUCCCAGCUACUAGGGAGGCUGAGGUAGGAGAAUCCCUUGAACCUGGGAGGUGUAGGUUGCGGUGAGCUGAGAUCGUGCCAUUGCACUCCAGCCUGGGCAACAAGAGCAAAACUCCAUCUCAAAAACAAACAAACAAACAAAAAACCCUUAUCCAAUGGUCAUGCCACUCUAUCUGGCCAUGUAAUUUCUCCUCCUGGCUUUCUGUAGCAACAGCCUUCUGAGGAACCUCACUCUGCCUUACAAAACCCCUUCAACUUGUACCCUUCAUCAGCAAAGUAGCUCAACAUGUAUGCCUCUGGGGGAACUCAUCCACAUGCCAUUUAAGGGUAUUUCCAGCAACAUCAUCUUUACUACCCCAGGACAGCAUUUUAGAGUGGAUUACGUGCCUGCUAGAUGUGUUGUUCUUGAGCGAGCUAGAGAACACGCUACACUUUGAGAUGAAUUAAGAGUCUGUUUAUUUAGCCGGCGGCUAAGAAACGGCUAACGUUUAAAGUUCUCUCGGCUUCGAAGAAGGGGCUAAGAUUUUCUUUUAUACUUUGGUUUAGAAAGGGGAGGGGGGUCUAGUUAAAACAAUUUUACAUAAGUAAAGUAGGCAAAAAAGUUAAAAGGAUAAAUUGUUACAGGAAAGUAAACAGUUCUAGGUCUAGGGCCUUUAAGACUAUUAUAAGGUGAUAGACUCGGGGCUUUGGGCGUUAUCAACCAGAUGAAUUCCUGGGAACUGUGGAUAUUGCUCACCACAGUAUCUUAUCAGUUAAUUGCAUUCUUCGAUGUGCUGGGAGUCAGCUUGCACAAGUUAAGUCCUUGAGGAAGGGGCUGCCAGUGAAAGAGCCAAGAUGGAGUCUGUCUGGCUCUCUUAGCUAAGGGAGAGUCAAUUCAGGUGGAAACAAGGCUAGGUCAUUAAAAGAAAGGGAGAGUCUAAAAACAGAGUUAGUAAAAACAAGGUUGGGCAUUACAUUCCUCAUUUGUGUUUUUGGGGAAUCAAAUCGUUGAUUCUUCAGUUAUAAAAAGGGGGUUAUAUUGAGUCUUAAGAUACAUAAGUUUGACAGAAGCUAUGCGUUGUUUUACAAAAUUAAGAAACUAAUUUAAUAUACAAGGCCCAAAUAUUAGACUUAUUAGUAGGACGGGGAGGGGGUCUGGCUAACUUAGUAAUUAGAGUGGUUAGCUAUGGGUUCUAGUUGAACAUGCUUUGAUACUAGGGGAUGUUAUUUUCUUGUUCUUGUUGGCGCUUGUCUAGAUUUUCUUGCACUUUUUGGCGUGUAUCUUUUAUGACUAAGAAAGGUGGAGGAACAGUCAAAUCAACUUUGUCAGGGUGUUUCUGGAACAUAGGGUUACUUAGAUCAGUUAAAGAUCUGAUUGGCUUGGGUGGGCUUUAUGAGACUAGGGUUUUUUUGGAUGGUGAACAUAGACUUAACAUUAAAUCCUGGGAUAUAAAAUCUUAAUCUUCAUGACAUGCCAUGCCAUGAUACUAUUGAGAUGAAUUAAGGUCAUGGACAGUUACAGUAAGAGGAUUACAAUUUUUUCUAGUACAUAAUUUAGGAUGAGAAGCACGACUUAUGGAAACAGUUGAAGAUCUGGUUGAUCUUUUAGAGUAGGUGGCUAAAGUUACACAUGUCUAAUCAGGGCAGAAAAACUGAUAAGCAUCUUGACAGCUAGUGUCAGGGUGAUUUCUAGGACAGAGGUAAAAGUCAAUAUUUUGGAGUCUUUUUUCUGCACUUUUGGAGCUCCUACAUUUAGUUUGGCUCUUGGAGUGUCUGAAUCUUGCUGCAAGGUCGACACUUCCUGCUCCUGGGACUGACAGAUUGUGUUGCUUUUCAUGGGUAUGGGCUGGCUUUGGGAACAGUACAAAUAAAUCAACUGCAAAGGAGACUUCCUUGGAGGUACUGGCCUUCCAAGUGGUGUUUGCAAAUACACGUCCUGUUGUGAAAGAGGUGAGGAGAAAGGAGUAGGAAGGCACGGAGGAUGUAACUGGCAAAAACAAAUAAGUGAGGUAGAUAAAAAGAAUGAAUCUAAUGGCUUCACCUGACUUAGGUGCAGUUUUAAGGGGCCUGACUUAGGCCUGGGGACUUAUGUUUUUAGCUGGGCUCUGUUGGCCUUUUUGAUGCGGGAGUGAUGAAUCUAAGCAGGAAGGCUGUCUACUUUCAGAGCAGUUGGAGUCGUGAGGAUGACGGUGUGAGGUCUUUUCUAAGCAGGAGUGAGUCUUUCUUCUUGGAACUUUUUAACAAACACUAGGUCUCCUGGCUGGAAUGAAUGGCAGGAAUUUGUCUGGUCAGGAAUUGGAUUGGGAUGGGCUCCUCGAGCAAGUGGCAGGAUGAUCUCUUGUACCUGUUGGAGAGACUACAGGUACUGUAAUAAAUUAGUUUGUGAUAAUUCUGCUAAUUUGGUAUCUCUUAGCUUAGGCAAGAUAGGCAGCGCCUUCUUAUACAUGAUUUCAAAGGGUGAGAACUUAGCCUAGUAAGGGGUGCACCUUACUUUAAGUAGGGCUAAAGGAAGGAGACUUACUUAAUUUACACUGGUUUUUAAGAUUAAUUUUGUAAGAGUGUUUUUUAGGGUGUGGUUCAUGCGUUCUACUUGCCUGGAGCUCUGGGGUUGAUAGGCACAAUGGAGCUUCUAUUGAAUGUUUAACGCCUUACUGACUGACUGAGCUAUAGGCGAGGUAAAGGCUGCUCUAUUAUCAGACUUUAUAGCAGCAGGCAGCGUAUAUUGGGGGUUGAUUUCAUUGCGUAAAAACUUAACUACUGUGUUGGUAGUUUCGUUUUCAGUAGCAAAUGCCUUAGUCUAUCUGGAGAAGGUGUCUACUAGUACUAGAAGGUAUUUGUACUUAGCCCGGUGUGGUUUUACUUCUGUAAAGUCAAUUUCUUACUUUUUUCUUGGCGAGUUUUUUCAGAGACAGUGGCCUAGGCUGGGUUUAGGACUUUGUUUGGCAUUUACUUGGGCGCAGGUUGUGCACUGGAGAGCUGCUUAAUCUGUUAGGCUUUGAAGAUGGGGGAUCUUAAAAUGGCUCCUGAGGAGCUGAGGUAGCUUUGCUCUUUUUAAGUGGGUGGUAGACUGUAGGUGACUGAUUAAAGUUUCUUUAAGAGUUCAGGAUAUGAAGAUUCUAGAGUCAGGAAGAAUCUACUAACUUUCCUGAUUUUUAUUGGCUCUGAGAUCUGAAGCCAGUUUUUUUUUGUUGUUGUUGAGUAUACGGGAUUGUCAGGCAGAUCUGGCUGUGGAAAGGAGACUAUGGGCAGCAAGUUUAGAGGCAUGACUGAAGUUGCGCUGCGACCUGAGCUGCUGAAUCAGCUUUCUGGUUACUAUGGGCAACGGCCGUAUUUUCUUUUUGAUGUCCUUUGCAGUGGAUCACAGCUACCUGCUGAGAAACUCCUGGAGGGCAGAGCCAUGCCUGCCAUUUUCAUCAUUGCAUUACCACCACCCAGCACAGUGCCUGGUACAAAAGAGUUGCUCAAUAAAUAAAUCAGGAUGAAUGGACAAAUACACGGAUAGGCACUUUGAACUACAGAUGAGCUUAAAUACUUUGUGUUUUUCUUAGUCAAACAUGUGCAAUUAAGCAUGUGAUAAAUUAUAUGAUGACCACACCUGUGUCUUGCCUGAUGUUCUUUGCAAUCACUAAACAAAGUCAAUUUUGCCUGUUUUGACAGUUCUGUUUUCAACCUAAUGAUCCGUUUCUUUUAACUUCUGGCUGUUGGCUUUGUUUGGGUUUGUUAGCCUGACAAAGUGGCAGAUAUUGGUAUUUGCUCUUUUGUUUAAAUGUCACGAACUUUAAAAAUGCCUUUGCUUUUGGUAAGAAACCCUAGUUAGGACAGUCUAGUGGUCAGGAUGAUUUGGGUUCUGAUGCAGUAACAACAACCCCCAAAUCUCAGUGGCUCCAUGCGGUGAGGUAUUUGUUAGUUUUUGAGACAGGGUCUCACUCUGUCACCCAGACUAGAGUGCAGUGGUGCAAUCUCAGCUCACUGCCACCUCUGCCUCCCAGACUCAAGUGAUUCUCUGCCUCCUGAGUGGCUGGGAUUACAGGCCCGUGCCACUACUGUCUGGCUAAUUUUUUUACUUAGUAGAGACAGGAUUUCACCAUGUUAGCCAGGCUGGUCUUGAACUCCUGACCUCAAAUGAUCCACCUGCCUUGGCCUCCCAAAGUGCUGGGAUGACAGGUGUGAGCCACCAUGUCUGGCCACAAUGAGGCUUAUUCUUGGUCAUGUUGCAUGUCUGGGCUGUGUUAGGGCAUUGUGGGGUGGUCUGUUCAUUGUGUUCACUCAGGGAUCCAGGCUGACAAAAGCCCCAUCUCUGCAUGUGUCCUUGAUCACCACUUCAGGGGAAAGGGAAUGUGCUGGAUCACAGAGCCUCUUAACACUUCCACCUGGAGGUGACUCAAGUUGCUCCUGCUCAUGGUUCAUCGGACAAAACGGAUCACAGAGUCAUGGGCAACUUCUCUGUGCCUGGAAGGGGAACCAAAAUAUGAAUAGCUACAUUGAUUUUCCCUAGCUAUUACACAGAAGGCCUCAUUUAAACACAGUUACUUAUUUGUGUUUUGAAGCUAAUUGUAGUCCAUCAACCUUCACAGAAGAUAUGUGCACUUCUAAGCUAUUAUUAAGCACAGUUUUUUUUUUCUUUUGAGACAGAGUCUCACUCUCUUGCCCAGACUGGUGUGCAGUGGCAUGAUCAUGGAUCACUGCAACUUCUGCCUCCUGGGUUCAAGUGAUUUUCAUGCCUCAGCCUCCCAAAGUGCUGGGAUUACAGACACCCACCACUGCACCUGGCUAAGUUUUGUAUUUUUAGUAGAGAUGGGGUUUCACCAUGUUGGCUUGGCUGGUCUGGAACUCCUGACCUCAGGUUAUCCACCUGCCUUGGCCUCCCAAAGUGCUGAGAUGACAGGCGUGAGCCACCGCACCCGGCCUUGAGUAUGAUUUUUGAUUGGGAACGUCAGAGUUACGGUUUUAGUCUGAGGACAGUAUGACGUGAAGGUGAAAAGUAGAGCUUGGCUGUGAGUUUGCUGGGAUUCCUGUGCUACUUCUACAGUUCUUCGGCUGUGUGACCAUCACCUUUG
rnacentral:lncRNA from 1 species